ACAAAGUAAUAAUCAAAAGACCAAUUGGGAAGGCUUUUACAAGAGAUUUAAAGAUUAACAGGGUGGGUCUUUAAAGAAUACGUCGUUUGGGGACAUGGUGAACACCACACUAGACAAAGUCAAAGAGAGGGAAGGAAAGAGUUAUUUUAGGAGCUUAAAAAUAAUGGAUAAAUGAUCAAAAUAAAACACAGGUAAGCAUGUUCGUAAAGGUUAUAAAACUAUCUGAUAGCAGCGGGAUGUUCCCAUGACAACAGUUGCACAUACGUUUAAAACAACUUCCAAAAAUGUUACAGGUGAACUCUAAGAAAUAAGCAUUCAUCAUCACUGUUGGACUCAAAGUGGGUUUCCUCCCAUUAAAUCCAAUGUCAUGUGCAUUGUGAAACAUUGUAUGUAUGGGUUUGUUUCCUCAAUUGUAUUCUCUUGACAUGCCACAAAGCCUUCCAGAUAAAACUGCAGCUUUUCGGUAACAAAAGAUGUGAACAGACUUCUGGGGAAGUUGUACGUAAAGAGUUCUGGCAAUUUUUCUUGGUGGCAUGUUCUGCUCCAGGUAUAACUUAGCAAAAAUAUGGGUUGUUGUUUUUAAACCUUUUUUCAAACUUAGUUCUGUGGUUUUUGGAUAAAAUGCAGGAAAAAAACAGGAAACAGCAGAAAACCAACCCUGAGUUUGACCCACAAAAAGAAAAGAUUUUUGUUUAGGCUGAUCAUAUCUGCACAGAUAUAUGUGCGACCAUGCACAAAAGCUGAUGGUAAUUCACGGUGGCCACACGUAAUACGUCCGGGCAAUAAGAUACACGUUUCUGCUUUCUAAAAAAAUUCUUUCUGUUCCUGUUUUCCUGCCACAAUUUGUGUCUACAACUUGUUCUCUACUCCACCACACCUCUCAGUCACAACUCCAGAACAAAGGAUGGACGCAAGCAACAAUCCGUUUUCUGUCAUUUUGAAAAGAAUGGAGAGCCUUGUAGCAUCAAAUGUUAUCAUGGGAUUGUUUCUUGUUUUCUUUGAGAAGAUGCUGGACUCAGAAUUCUUGUGCCCUUGCUAUGAAGGAAGUGUGUGGAAUACUUUGUUUGUUUCUCUUUAUUUUUUGGGUCCAAUAGUUACAAUCUUUGCUUUAAUCCCCCGUGUGCUUGACUAUCCAAGCUGCUGUUGCAUUUGCUGUUGUUUAAUUUGCUUACAGACUUUAGUUCCUUCUCUUAUAUGGGUCAUCAUACUCUUGCUUGAUGGCCGAUAUGUAGCUUGUGCAAGCACAAACUGGUCUGGGAUUUAUGAAGCUACAGAUGGUGGUGGACUGAUGAGAUGGUGCAAACCAGACAACAACUCAUUUGAGAAGCUAAGCUAUACCCAGAGAGCGUACACAGUCUCUCAGUGCAGUGGAUUUGGGCUCUGCAUUUGCUUUGGUCUGAUCUUAUCCUGCCGUUAAAUAAAGUGAAAUAAAGGAGUCAAGAAGGGAUGGAUUUGGAAGCACUUGACCUGAAGAUGGAACCUAUGUCAACAGAUCUGAUCGUUUCUUAGGAAAGAACUGUUCCAAAAAUGACUUAAUUAUAAAUUGUUCUUGCAUCUACUCUGUAGAUUGUCAUCUUGUGGUUAAAAUGAGUGAUAAAAAAUUGUAUUUACUCUCCUGAAAGAUCAAUCAAGUAGUGUAUGUUUGUUGUUCAAAAUAUAUUUGCUUUUUUCGAUUUAAUCCAUGAUUAAUGCUUGGUAUGUAAAAAGACUGUCAGUAAGAUACUUUGAAGAAAAACUGGGAAUUAUGCAGAGAUUAAAAGUAUCCUUUUGCUGACAAUGUUCAAUAAAUACAUUCAAUAAAUGUUCAUGUUCAAUAAAUAAGAUCAUAUCCAAA